UUGAUGAUUAACAAGCACUUAUCUAGAGUAUGCUAUAAGUUAAAUUGAUACUUCAUUUAUAAGUUCAUUACUCUCAGUAUAUUUGGUUAAUUGAAAAUAGAUACAUGACCUUGUUCAUUUGAAUGAAUCUAACCUUGAGAAUGCAGCAAAGUGUGGAUUGAGUCGACCCAUAGGUUGAUUGGGUCGACCCCGGCACAUCAAGAAGUCAUCUGGCACACUCCUGCAAAAAUGGCACAAAUGAACAGUGAGUUGGGUCGACCCAAGGUAAGCAUGAGUCGACCCAACCUUGAAGAACCUCAAAAACACAACUGAAGAAUGCUCUCUGGAUUUACUGAGAGGGUCGACCCAAAC
rnacentral:lncRNA from 1 species